rnacentral:piRNA from 1 species
UGGUAUUGAUGUUGUAAUCUGAGUUCAGC